rnacentral:rRNA from 1 species
GACGAACGCUGGCGGCGCGCUUAACACAUGCAAGUCGAGCGAGAACCGGGGCUUCGGCCCCGGGGACAGCGGCGAACGGGUGAGUAACACGUGAGUAACCUGCCCUCGGCACCGGAAUAGCCCGGGGAAACCCGGAUUAAUGCCGGAUGGCCCCUCUACCCUGCGGGGCGGCGGGAAAAGGUAGCUUCGGCCUUGUGCCAAAGGAUGAGCCCGCGGCCCAUCAGCUAGUUGGCGGGGUAACGGCCCACCAAGGCUAAGACGGGUAGCUGGUCUGAGAGGAUGAUCAGCCACACUGGAACUGAGACACGGUCCAGACUCCUACGGGAGGCAGCAGUGGGGAAUAUUGCGCAAUGGGCGAAAGCCUGACGCAGCAACGCCGCGUGAGUGAUGAAGGUCUUCGGAUCGUAAAGCUCUGUCGGCAGGAAAGAUGGGCUCGGCAGCUAAUAUCUGCCGGGCUUGACGGUACCUGCAAAGGAAGCACCGGCUAACUCUGUGCCAGCCGCCGCCGUAACAC